rnacentral:rRNA from 1 species
AUUGAACGCUGGCGGCAGGCCUAACACAUGCAAGUCGAGCGAGCGGCGGACGGGUGAGUAAUGUAUGGGGAUCUGCCUGAUGGCGGGGGAUAACUACUGGAAACGGUAGCUAAUACCGCAUACCAUCAGAUGUACCCAUAUGGGAUUAGCUAGUAGGUAGGGUAACGGCUUACCUAGGCGACGAGCCCUAGCUGGUCUGAGAGGAUGACCAGCCAAGCUGGAACUGAGAAACGGCCCAGACUCCGACGGGAGGCAGCAGUGGGGAAUAUUGCACAAUGGGCGCAAGCCUGAUGCAGCCAUGCCGCGUGUAUGAAGAAGGCCUUCGGGUUGUAAAGUAAUUUCAGUCGGGAGGCGUUACCGACAGAAGAAGCACCGGCUAACUCCGUGCCAGCAGCCGCGGUAAUUC